rnacentral:rRNA from 1 species
CACGUAGGGCGCAAGCGUUGUCUGGAAUUAUUGGGCGUAAAGAGCUCGUAGGCGGUCUGUUGCGUCCGCUGUGAAAACUCGGGGCUUAACCCCGAGCCUGCAGUGGAUACGGGCAGACUAGAGGUAGGUAGGGGAGAAUGGAAUUCCCGGUGUAGCGGUGAAAUGCGCAGAUAUCGGGAGGAACACCGGUGGCGAAGGCGGUUCUCUGGGCCUUACCUGACGCUGAGGAGCGAAAGCGUGGGGAGCGAACAGG